CAACCCUGACAAUGGGCAAAGAGACACCUUGUUGCUGUCAGUGUUGUUCUUAUGUCAGUCAGGGGCAGAGAGGAUGGCGGUCCUUUGUUCACCCUAGCUUGAUGCCUGGCUUGGGGGGGCCAAAGCUGUCUUAUGCCUAGGACUCACAA
ensembl:snoRNA LOC120101271 small nucleolar RNA SNORA48